GUUGCCUGUUUCGAAUGCUGUUUGAUUGUCUUAUGAUUGUGGUACGAACACUUUUCAUAUAUACGCACGCGCAGAAACACAUCUCCGUGUUCAUUCGUUUUAGGCAUGCCCAUAAACGGAAUUUUCUCCCACAAUUGUAAUGUUCAAGAUUAGGGAAUAAAAGCUGGCAAAGUGAUUGUUCGAAUGUGUACGGGACGGUGUCGUCAGAUAUUGUCCAUAAUUGUGCCGAUGGUUUUCGAUGAGGUACAGCUCUCCAAUCAGAGGUAAUGAGGUACGCUUUUGUCUUCUAAAUUUCCCUCAUCAAGCAUGCAGGGGAAGAUUAGAAGACAAAGAAAUCCUUUGUUUUCAACUAAAUUUACCGGGUAAAUUUAGAAGACAAAGCGUAUGCAUGGGUAAUGAGGUAAAUUAGUUGGUAAUCGUACCUCGCGAGACAAAGGAUUUCGAGGCAACUAUGAUAUUAUUGUAGUAUUCCACCUAUACACUGAACCACCACGAAUAUUGUGAAAUACUAUUUAUUCUGAUCACCAUGUUUGAGAUAUCUUUUUCAAGUAGUUUGGACACAAACCACGCACCUUGUUGUAGAAUACUACCUACACUGAACCACCACGAAUAUAGAAUACUACCUAUCAUUGAAUCACCAUGUUUGAGAUAUCUUUUUCAGGUAGUUCGGACACAAACCACGAC